UACGAAGGGGGCUAGCGUUGCUCGGAAUCACUGGGCGUAAAGCGCACGUAGGCGGCUUGUUAAGUCAGGGGUGAAAUCCUGGAGCUCAACUCCAGAACUGCCUUUGAUACUGGCGAGCUUGAGUCCGGUAGGGGAGUGUGGAAUUCCCGGUGUAGCGGUGAAAUGCGCAGAUAUCGGGAGGAACACCCGUAGCGAAGGCGGCACUCUGGGCCGUGACUGACGCUGAGGAGCGAAAGCGUGGGGAGCAAACAGG
rnacentral:rRNA from 1 species